rnacentral:rRNA from 1 species
GACGAACGCUGGCGGCGUGCUUAACACAUGCAAGUCGAACGGAAAGGCCCUGCUUUUGUGGGGUGCUCGAGUGGCGAACGGGUGAGUAACACGUGAGUAACCUGCCCUUGACUUUGGGAUAACUUCAGGAAACUGGGGCUAAUACCGGAUAGGAGCUCCUGCUGCAUGGUGGGGGUUGGAAAGUUUCGGCGGUUGGGGAUGGACUCGCGGCUUAUCAGCUUGUUGGUGGGGUAGUGGCUUACCAAGGCUUUGACGGGUAGCCGGCCUGAGGGGGUGACCGGCCACAUUGGGACUGAGAUACGGACCAGACUCCUACGGGAGGCAGCAGUGGGGAAUAUUGCACAAUGGGCGGAAGCCGGAUGCAGCAACGCCGCGUGCGGGAUGACGGCCUUCGGGUUGUAAACCGCUUUCGCCUGUGACGAAGCGUGAGUGACGGUAAUGGGUAAAGAAGCACCGGCUAACUACGUG